CAGUUCCCAGAGUUCCUAUUGGGUCAACGCGGGAAGUUCCAACAUGGCGGCCGCGGCGGACUGCGGCACUGGCGCUGCGAGUACUGGAUCUAUAGGGGCUGCAGCAUGCAAGAACGUCACCAGUUUCCAGAGGAAGGGUCCUAGAGCCAGCGGUACCGACAGCGGCUGUUCUCGACUGGUGUCCAUCGCGGGCACACGACCGUCGGUGCGGAAUGGACAGCUGCUGGUAUCUACCGGGCUCCCAGCCCUGGACCAGCUCCUAGGUGGAGGUUUGGCUGUUGGAACAGUUCUUCUAAUUGAAGAGGAUAAAUAUAAUACUUACUCUUCUUUGCUCUUCAAGUUUUUCCUGGCAGAAGGAAUCCUCAAUGGGCAUACUUUGUUGGUUGCAUCUGCAAAAGAAGACCCUGCUGAUAUUUUACAGGAACUUCCUGCACCAUUACUCGAUGAUAAUUGUAAAAAAGAUUUUGAUGAAGAUGUAUGUAAUCAUAAAACACCAGACUCUAACAUUAAGAUGAAAAUAGCUUGGCGUUACCAGUUAUUACCCAAGAUGGAGUCUGGACCAGUCUCUUCUUCAAGAUUUGGUCACUAUUAUGAUGCAUCAAAAAGGAUGCCACAAGAACUAAUUGAGGAAUCAAAAUGGCAUGGAUUUUUCUUUCCAGAAAAAUUAUCUUCAACUCUUACUAUAGAACCAUGUUCUUUGACUGGUGGCUACAGGAAGCUGCUUCAAUUUAUCCAGAACGUCAUAUAUGAGGAAGGAUUUGAUGGAUCCAAUCCCCAGAAAAAACAGAAAAACAUUUUAAGAAUAGGAAUCCAGAAUCUUGGUUCACCUUUGUGGGGAGAUGACAUUUGCUGUACAGAAAACUGUGACAACAGCCACAGCCUUACGAAGUUCCUGUAUGUUCUCCGUGGUCUUCUACGAACUUCUCUUUCAGCCUGUAUCAUCACAAUGCCAACACAUCUUAUCCAGAAUAAAGCAGUUAUUACUCGUGUUACAAACUUGUCAGAUACAGUAGUUGGUCUGGAAUCAUUCAUUGGUUCUGAGAGAGAAACCAACCCAUUAUAUAAGGAUUAUCAUGGUUUGAUUCAUAUCCGGCAGAUUCCUCGGCUUAAUAACUUGAUUUAUGAUGUAUCUGAUGUCAAAGACUUAGCUUUUAAAUUAAAAAGGAAGCUAUUCACCAUUGAGGCUGCAGAAGAGGGCAAUGUACACUCCGUGCUCAGACGCCAGCAUAGUGACUGAGACCUGCUAAGUCUGAUAUUCUGUUAUUGUUGCUUAUAACUGUGUGUAGUUCAUUACAUUUAUACAAUUGUUUCCUUGCCUUAACCAGCUCACUUAUUUUUAUCUUGUUGAACCAUAUGUAUUUUUAUAAGCCAUCCCAACUUUUUUGGAGCAAGAGGAGAUACAAAUAAAUUACUGUACUACUUGCUACUUCAGAGAAUACUUACACAUCUCAUUUGGUCCUGACAGCAGUCUCAUGAAGAAUCAUCCCCGUGUGAUUGAUAGAUGAGCAGACACUGAGACUCACACAGGGAAACUGACUUGUCCAAGAGUGACAGAAGGACGGAUGUAUCGAACUUUCACUGGCCGCCUCUGUUAAGUGACCAGGACAGAGUCCGUAUAUUCUAAGGUGUUUACAAGUUUUCAUUUAAAUUAGCUAUGGGAGCACCUGGCUGGCCCAGUCGGUAGAGCAUGAGUCUCUCGAUCUCAGGGUUGUAAGUUCGAGCCCCACACCAAGUGCAGAGAUUGCUUAAAAAUAAAAUCUUGAAUAAAAAAAUAAAAUAAAAUGGCUGUGUUUCAAAGAACAGAAGAAAACUCUAUUAGAAAGUAUUUUGUAAUAUUAACACUGAUUUCUGUGAAUCUGAUGAAUGCAAAGUGUGACUGUUCAGGACAUGUCAACAUAUAAAAAGGAUUGAAACAACUCUCUCUUCUGGGAAAGGUUAAAAUGUACUUCAUCAAACAGAAAACAAACAGUGCCUGGUCGUUUGGUCUUGGCAAAAUAUGAAAAAUGUAAAUUGAUUAAACUUACUUUAAUGGGUAUUUACCUGCAAUUUGUCUCAAAUCCAGGUGUAAUCUAGAUUCAUUAUCUUGCCCCUUCUGUCUAGGAGCUGUGAGUGCUGAGCACGGGGCUGGCCAGCUGGGAGAAAGGAAUUAGGAAAGGAAACUGUGGAGCCAGGAAAUCCAAUCCUGUGUGUCUCUAGCACCCAUUUAGUUGCUGACCCAAGAAGGAACAACAUGCAGACAGUGGCUAAGCCCAGCAAAGAGACAGUGAUGUAGGCAGAGAGGGCAGAAUCUCAGAGUCUGGCUGGGCUUGGUACCCGCACGGAGCUGCAGAGCGAAGCUCUCCUGCUGCUGUCGUUUUAUUCUGACCCAGGGCUUCCUGGGUCCUGAGAGGGCCUUUUGGCAGGAGCUCCCGUAAUCUGCCGGAGUAUUUUGGCAGCCCUGCUGUUUCCCACCUCGCAGCACCAGAGAAGAGGGACCCAUUAGUCCAGUGGGAUCCCUGCAAAUCGCCUAGGCCUCUGUGCGAAGGUGGGAGCAAUCACGUCUUAAACCCCUUUGGCUACAUAGAAGGCAUCAUUUUAGACAAGGCAUGAAUGGAAAAAAGAGGCAGCCAGCCAGAUAGGCAUCUCCUGCAUUAUUAGCAGCACAAUCUCUUCCUCCCGGAAUCCAGGAAAAGAAAAUCCAGUGAGAAAAAUUUCCAUUCAAGAUCUAAGAUAUGUUUUGAGCCCUCGCCUCAGAACACCAGGUUUAAAAUAAGGAAGAGGGAGACCUUGAUUUGGUUUCCAAGGUUGAAAAUGGUAUUGUAUUUUUUUAAUAGUCUGAUUUUUAUUUAAACCAUUACUCAGUGAAACCUCAAGGUCCAAAAGUUUAUAUAUGUCCCCACAGCCUUGCAGCUUUAGUCGAAAGGAGGUCAUAUGCUAUGCAGGGUAUCUUCCUGCCUAUUUUUUCACAAGACAGAUCUGGGGUACAGCAGCAUCUGAACAUUUACAUGUCAAGUGUGUAAAUGCUUUGGAAGCCUCAAAGGAAAAGUUCCUGACGCACCUGGCAAGCCUGGAACUUGAUCUCUCCUUCCUCACUGCUCAUACCGCACUGACAUGGUGCACAGGGGGAGGCUGAGAAGGGAAGAAAACAAAAACCCACUGCUUGAGAAUUUAGAGUACAGAGUAUGCCCAUUCAAGUAACGAUCAACAGAGCCGGCACAUAGUUCCAGGAGCCAACCUUGGGCUUUCUCAAAGGACCUAAGUAUGCAAACUGGCGUUCACCGUGUAGCAUUAGGUGAGAAGCAUUUAACCAUAUCAACCCAAAUUUUUGUGCUUAGAAGUUACACAAGAAUGAUAUUUGACUUUUCUUCAAACCCAUUCAACCUGAAAGAUUUCCAAGCAUGUCACACAUCACAUUUAGCUACUUUUGCUGUGAAGGGCUUUCAGCCAACUGGCUCAUGUUCAUUGCCUGGAGAAGCAGAGGAAAAGAAAUUUUUAGCAAAUAGCGACUGCAUUUGCCUCCAGACUUGUCAGACACAGUGAGCCGCUCAAGCAAACAGGAUCUGGCAGGAUCCUCCAAGCUUCUGGGCCCAGGCUGUGGCAUGAUGGCCGGAGGCAAGCAACACCUGGACUUCUAGCGAUC